UCAACUUUCGAUGGUAGGAUAGAGGCCUACCAUGGUGGUAACGGGUAACGGGGUGUUAGGGCACGACACCGGAGGGGGAGCCUGAGAAACGGCUACCACAUCCAAGGAUGGCAGCAGGCGCGCAAAUUACCCAAUCCCGACACGGGGAGGUAGUGACAAUAAAUAACAAUACGGGGUUCUUUCGGAUUUCGUAAUUGGAAUGAGUACAAUUUAAAUCUCUUAACGAGGAACAAUUGGAGGGCAAGUCUGGUGCCAGCAGCCGCGGUAAUUCCAGCUCCAAUAGCGUAUAUUAAAGUUGCUGCAGUUAAAAAGCUCGUAGUUGAAUUUCGGGACCAAUAUGUCGGUCGUGCCUCGGUACGUACUGGCAUCGUUGGUUUCUCCCUUCUGACGAACCAUGAUGUCAUUCAUUUGGUGUCGUGGGGAAUCAGGACUGUUACUUUGAAAAAAUUAGAGUGUUUAAAGCAGGCUCACGCUUGAAUACAUUAGCAUGGAAUAAUGAAAUAGGACGUUUGAUUCUAUUUUGUUGGUUUCUAGGAUUGACGUAAUGAUUAAUAGGGAUAGUUGGGGGCAUUAGUUUUCAAUUGUCAGAGGCGAAAUUCUUGGAUUUAUUGAAGACUAACUACUGCGAAAGCAUUUGCCAAGGAUGUUUUCAUUAAUCAAGAACGAAAGUUAGGGGAUCGAAGACGAUCAGAUACCGUCGUAGUCUUAACCAUAGACUAUGCCGACUAGGGAUCGGAUGAUGUUAAUUUUUUAAUGACUCAUUCGGCGCCUUACGGGAAACCAAAGUGUUUGGGUUC
rnacentral:rRNA from 1 species